ensembl:lncRNA
CUCUGGCAGCUGGAGCCAAGCCUCCCAGCAUUGUCUGAAAUCUCCAAAUUUAGAAGAAAUAUGAAAAUUGUCAACCACUCCUUCCUUAGGGGGUAAAAGCAACAUUCGGCACCGGGGGCAGGUCAAGGCGAGGCAGUCACGUGGCAGGCGCCUGGGCCAAUGGGGGCCCCUGAGAGGACUCAGCACCCGCCUCGCCCCAACACCAGGCUCGCCUCUUCAGCUCAUAUAAGGUAAAAGGCAGAGGGGUCUUUGCGGCCAGGGAGCAGCGGGCAAGGGGCUAAGGGGAGGGGGGCCCAGUGCCAGCUGUUUAAAAGUGCCCCUGUGGCAGUGGCAGUGAGGGGUGCCAGAGGUCCAGUGAAGUUAGUUGAGAAGCAGUGAUACCUCCAACCAUUCCCCAAAUGGGCUGGCCCAUGUCUCCAGGCCACAAGGAGCCACACCUGGAUGGACCCCGAGAGAGGCAAGGGCACUGGCUGGUGGGAGCCACCCCUUUUCAACCCUCACACUGACAGAGCAAACACCCCAGACAAGGGCCUCCUGAGGACCCGAGGAGGGCAGGCAGCGGGUUCCCUGGACACAGAACUCCUCCCCAGAGCUUCCCGACAGAAGACACAGGCUGCCCCCCGGGGCCAAGCGACAUUUCCUGAAGACACUGGGGAACAGUGAAGAGAAAACAGUCCGUCCUCCAGGAGUAGAAGGAUGUUGACAGCCAGCACCAGGUAAGAUUCUGCCAGGUAAGAUUGUGAGGCCACCUGUUUGACCGCCUCUUUUGAUGAAGUGGGAAACAGGGAGACAGUGAGAAGUGCUUGUGAGAAGGGAUCACACCACCUGAGUCUCCCUAGUGGGACCCAUCUCCUGACUGGGGACCCAGAGCAAGGAGGGGCCUCUUGCAGAGUAAGUGGAACAGGAGAGCUAUAGACCCCCUUCUCAAUGGGGCCUCAUUUGAAAGAGAAAUGGGGUCAAGGCCAGCUCUGUCUGCCUCCCAGCAAGUAUGCAAAACUCAAGGGAGGAGUUCCUGGAGCCAGAGAGCGACAUAAUGACAUCUUUCCUGCACCUCUGCCCUCGUCCCAAUCCAGCUGCACCACCUUCUCCAGGAAGCCCUCCUAGCUCCCCCAGGGAGGAGGAACCUAAGCCCUCAGCAGUCCUCUCUGGGCUGUCUCUAAGGCCACUUGGGUCUGUCCCCUAUUCAACUCACCAAGGGCAUUUAUCCUUCCAUCUCAGCCUGACUGCGCUCUUCCAGGAUAAGAACCAUAUCAGAUGCAGGCCUGUCCCCUCUGCACGCAGAAGAUGUAUUUGGUUUGCUAAAUGGAUGGAUGAAAGGUUAGACCCUGUCCUCAACCCUGAUAGACUGGUAUAGUGGUCAGGGGAGGAAGUGUUCAGCACAGAGGUUAAAAGUCAUGAUCCUGAGGUGGCUGUUCUGAUAGGAACCAAAGAUGGGCUCCUAGCUCUGUGCUCUUAGAAAAUCCCCUUCUUGUGGAACCUUGGGAUGCACAGGGAUUAGCACAAUGAAAACAUUCAAAACAUGACCGUUCUUUUUACCAUCAGCGUCACUGUGGUUUUUCUAGAGACAAAGGAACAGAACCAGGCAACCUACAGCCACAGAGGAUACGGAAGCAAAUACCUUCCCCUGGUCAAAGGCCUCAACCUCUGGCCCUGUGUCAGAGUUUCCCACAGGAGCGUGGGACUGCCUCCCAUCCAUUUCCUGUCUCUGCACCCAGGAGAGCUGCUAUCUUUGCGGCAAUACUCUGAGCCCAACGGGGUGUGCUGGAAAUAGCUGCCAAUUCCCCUAGUGCAAGCAAGGCUGUGACCCUGGAACCAUCUCCUCCCCUUCCUGGCUCGCCAUGUGCAGUGAUAAAGCUCCCCUGACCACUGCACAGCAGUUCUGCAGAUUAAACGUGGUGGGGUGGUUUUUCAAAUGGCAGGCACUCAGAUGCCACCCACCCUUUUUUUCUCAGAUGCCCCCUUUUUAACUUUUGCCAUAUCUACAAUCAUAAGAUUUUAAAAUUUGAGGUGAGUCUUUUUUCAAUACCUAAAUAGGAAACUAAACACUGUCCAUAAUUAGGAGAUAAUAAAGAUAAGACAGACAGUAAAUACUCAGCGGUGCUCUUACUCCUUCCCCUUGAGCGAUGGCUUGCAAGGCCCUGGACUUGAGGGAGAUAAACAGGAGCCUGAAAAGUGUCAGAGACACGAUAGCACCAAACUGAGGCUCUUUCUCCCGGAAAACAGAAGGACUGGAAGCAAACUGACAGGGAACAGCCUGGGUCACUGUGUUUUCCAAAGUCUGUGCUCAGGCCACAUAUGCAGCAGAAUUGCGAGAAGCCAAAAGUGGUCAGGUGAAAGAGCUUUGGACAGAGUCCCGCACCGAGGAAUGCAAGGGGCUGGCCUAUCAGCUGGCCUCCCAGCAGCAAAGGCUCACUUCUGCUUCUUAGCAAAACUUCCACGUUGGCCAGGCCAGGCAUCUCCCCUUGCAGAACUAGUGGGAGCAGUCCGAGAGUGGAGUAGACACUGUGGGCUGUCCAGGACCCCCCAAGCUGGGUCCUGUUGUUGGAAUCACUCCCCAGCCAAAUGCAGUUUGGAAGAAGUUCCUACUCAUAUUAGAGGAAGGCAGUUCUUUGGGUGGGAAUACCUCACAGAGGGGCUGACCUACCCCAAGUAGCAGACCAAAGGAAAACACUCUGCUGUUUGGGGCCUGAUGUCAGGUUUCCAUCCGAGGCAUAAGAGACACUAAUUUUGGAAGGAUGUGAGUGUUUCCCUGCUCUCUCCCAGCCCUGAGAAAAGGCUGCCGGCCCUCUCCACCCUUCAGACAUCCCUGAAAGUACAUGUCAUCCAGCAUCAAGGCCAUCACAGUGGUAUCAGCAGUGCAGGAGGGGUGCCCUGAGAUCUUGGCGGGACAGGAGAAGGGGGUACAGGGCUCUGCCUGCUCACUCAGAGGUUCCCAUCUAAGCCAGGUCUUAACAGGAAAACGAAUGAUCUACAAGGCCAUUCACUCAUCUACCAGCAGCACUCCCUGGGGUCCCUCACCAUGUACAAAGGCCUUCACAAGGCCCAGGGAUCCCCACCACGAACAAACAUGGGUGCUGGGUCUACCCCAGUCAGACCCAGAGGCAAAGAGCUCUGACACUGGAGAGAUGUGGCUGAAGAACAUGAUUCAUUCACUCGGACAACACAUAUUAAGCAUCUACCAUCACAAAUGCAAUAAAGGAUGAGAAAGAGGGCAGAGAGGACUUCCCUGGUGGUUCAGUAGUGGAGAAUCUGCCCUGCAAAGCAGGGCACUCAGGUUCAAUCCCUGCUCAGGGAACUAAGAUCCCACAUGCCAUCGAACAGCUGAGCUCCCACGCCACAACCACGUACCGCACGAAGACUGCACGUGCCGAAACUAAGCCCUCAUGCAGUCAAAUAAAUAAAAUUUAAAAAAGAAAGAAAGAGGGCAAAGGAUGCAGACCGGGGAGUUCUGACGUCUGAAAAAGUCAAAGGGGGCUUCACAGGAAAAGUGGCCAUUUAAGUAGAGACUCAUCCCACCAAGAAGAGAUGGGCAGGGGAGUGAGAGGGAGUAACAUGGUUCCUGGGAGCCCCAAGGUGGUGUGCACAGGACUCCCUGGAGGAGUGGAAAAAGAGGGCAGGGGCCCAAGAGAAACAGCCCAGCUGGGCCAGAUAGGGCAGGCCUAUAGCCUUUUGUAAGGGUUUUAGAAUUCAGCCAGAAGGAGACUUUUCACCAUUUUAAACCCAGGAGAAAUAUGGGCACAUUUGCAUUUUGAGAAAUCAUUCUGAGAGGAUGGGUGGGAAGUUGGUGGGAGCAGAAGCAAGGGAAGCCAGGUGGGAGGCUGAAGCAAAUGCUUGAUGGUAUAAAAUAUAAAGUACCAUGAAUGUGCCAUUUGGCUGGGCUACACCAAGCAUAAACGUGAGGUAUGGGGUCAAAAAGGUAGACCAUCACCCAGGGUGAGGGGUGAGGGGGCAGUAGAGGGUUCUUUGGGAAUGAUGAAAUGUUCUAAGAUUGUGGCAAUGCUUGUGACACUCUGUGUUUUUGCACUCACGCUCGGUCGUGUCCGACUCUUUGUGAUCCCAUGGACUGUAGCCCACCAGGCUCUCUUCCAUCCAUGGAAUUUUCCAGGCAAGAAUACUGGAGUGGGUUGCCAUUUCUUCCUCCAGUGGAUCUUCCCGACCCAGGGAAGGUCCCUCAUCUCCUGCAACUCCUGCACUGCAGGCAGACUCUUUCCCAUUAAGCCAUCAGGGAAGCCCAACUCACCACUCUGUGACUGAACUAGAAGAGCAUUUCAUUGUGUAAUUUGAAUAGGAGGUUUAUAUCUCAACAAAACUGUUUAAAAAGAAAAGGAAGGGUGAAGCUUGGUCCCAGAGGGCUCAAAUGCCAGGCUGAGGGCAGGAAGCACACCAGUGUAGCUGCAGCAGCCUCCAGGGCAGGAGCUGGAGGGAGGAGCCGAGGCCCCUCUAAUGCCCCUUCUCCUGCCUAGGGUGGACUCCCUGCCUUCGGCCCCUGGUGCAGAGCGGUGUGGCGUCCUGUCUCCCAGCCUGAGGUGCAGUGCUGCAUCUCUGGUCAGUUGGGAGUCUGAGAUGAAGCACUGUAGCUCGGGAAGGGAGAAGUUGUUCUACAGCCGUCGCCAGAAGUGGUAAGUGGUAUGGUGCCUGCAGGCACCAGGAAGGACGGGAGUGUUUCCAUUCUCCAGAAUGUCCGCUGAGGAAGCACUGGACUUGAGUCCUAUCUGUGCCACUAUCUGCUUCAUGUUUCUGGGCAAGUCCUGACUCCUCUGUGCACCGCAGUUUGUUCAUGUGUAAUAUGAGAUUUUGGAGCAUUUGGUGGUGGCCAUUACCCAGUACCCUGACUCUGCUUUCUCCUGAGCCCAUGGCAGACAUGGCUAAUCAGUCAAGGCAUCCUUUCCUAAAGCAUUCAGAUGCGGCUUCAGAAUCCUUCUUAAUGCUAAGUCCUAGAGAGCUGCUAUUGAUUCAAAGCUGAAACACUUCAUCAUUUGUGAACUGGUCAAUUCCUAAAAAAUCUUUCAGACUAAAGACAAAGUCCUGGGCUCUGAGUCCAGCUCUUUACUCUUUGAGGUGUUGCCUAAAAUAAUCCAGGCAUCUCUCAAAUAUCUGAUCCCUCUCAGGGGCUUCAGACUAGUCAGAAAUAGCAGAGGAAAACCACUGGGCUAAGCACAAUUUAUUUAACCUUCCUACAAGCUUGGGAGGUGGAUUUUAUUGACACAUUUUCCAGAUGAGGAAACCAAGGCUCAGGUAAGCAACCUGCCCAAGGUCACACAUAAAUUAUGUUGAGCUAGGCUUGGAACCUAAUCUGUCUGCCUUCAGAUUCAUGUUCUUACCCACUGCAUGUGACUUGGGAACCUGGGAUUAGGGGAGCAGGAGGAGAACAUAAUAAAUCCUAUUCUAGUCUUGUCCUUACAUCCUGGGUCACUUUUAGCAAAGACAGACUGAGACAUUUUCCAGUAAUCCUAUAGACUUCCUUCCUCUUCUUCCUGCCCCCCACCACUGUAUUUAUCUCACCUUUCAAGUAGGUCCUAUACCAUCCCAUUUUAUAAUUGGGGAAGACUGAGGUUAAGUGAGUUGCUGGAGGUCACCGGUAAGGAAGGUGCCAAACAGAGACUGGGAACCAGAACUGUCCAGGUGGUUUCGAGUAGAACCCUCCCUCUGGCUGGAGACUCAGGAACACACAAUCCAUGGCAACUGAACCAGGGGGUGGGGUGUUACUAGAUGAUUUCUGGUCGACAACAUGGCCUCUGACUACAGGAAGGUACUUUCCAGGGACACUGAAGUUCCAGUCACUACCCCCUCCCCUGAAGCAAUCAUCCACAUCCCGCCAGACAUGGUGGCCACACUGGCUUCUGCAGAUGGGGCUGGAUGCAGAAGAAAACUCCAGUUGGUCCUUAGAGAUAUGGCAGGGCCUGGGUGCUGAAGGCCACUCUCUCACCUUGUCCUCACGGUCCAGUUUUCCCAGGAAUCCCUUAGAUGCUAAGAUGGGGAUUCCUGGAAAUACUGUUCUUGAGGUCAUGGUUUAACAGCUGGAUUCGCCUCCUUCCCACCCCAAGUUGCCCCCACGGGACUUGGGCUCAAGCACGGCAUGAGGUCACGUGGAAAGCCAUGCACUGGAGGUAAGAGGACUUGAGGACUGCGUUCUUGACCUUUAAAUUGCUUUUCUUUCCAUUUUGUCCAUUUCGCAACAUCCUGUGAGGCUGGAAUGGGAGCUUCACCUCUGUCCUACUCUUGGGAAAUUUGUCCAGACACUCAGUUGAGCAGUGGUUGAACCAGGACACCAUAAAGCUUGUGUCUCUUUCCACCUCCCCCAACCCCCAUCCCACUUCCCAGCAUGCCAAGCAGUGGUGGGGGUGGGGUCACAAUAUCAAAUCCACAUUAGUGAUAAAUAAAUAUAUGUGAAUUUAUUUUAAAAGUUCACUAGAUCAGUUAACGUAAACUAAAAAUCUGUAAGUUUUAGUUCGAUUUGGAAUACCACAGAAAAAGUUUGUAAUUUUUCAUCAAGGUAGAGAAGACAAAAAAGCUCAGACUGCCCUCUUGUGGUGACGCCUGCCACAACCCUGGAGAACCAGGAACACUGGGCUGUCCUACACACACACAUACACACACACACAGACUCCUUUUGAACCAGCUUAAGUCACACACACUCUCUCUCUCACACACACAAACACACAUACACAGAGACUACUUUUGAACCAGCUUAAGACCCAUCCAUCAUUUCAUUACCAAUGAUGUCUCCAUCAUUUAGUUUAACUCACAUUACCUGGCUUUGUCCUCAAAACUCCUGAAGGUCAGUGAGAUGGUGAAGUUCAGAGAGGUGAAGUGACCAGCCCCUGGUCACCCAGAUAACAUUAGGCAGAGCCAGGAUCUGUUCCGAGUUCAGUGACUCAGCCAAAAGUAAAAACUACAAACAUAAAAAAUAAAAGGAAGACAUCUGAAUAGAUGCAGAAAAUGCUGGCUGAAUACCAGAGGCCUGAUGUGGUCCAGGGGCAAUCCUAGAACUUUUCACAAAACCUUCUCAGUGCUUUUUAUGGAGUUUGUAGAGACAAGAGGUGCCAUGACCCCAGGGUCCUUCCUUUGGGGUCUAGUAGCCAUGUUCCUAGGGACCAGGUGGCUCCCACUUAUGUAUCAGGCUGUCUCUCUUAACAGGCCAGGCUGCAGACAAUUUACAAAGUAUCAGAUUCCCGUCCCUCUCCUCCUCAGAGACUGGAGCUGGUCUGACCAUGAAGAAAUCUGAUUUGCUCCAAAUGAUAAUAAUAGCUUCCACUUACUGAGUAUUUGCAACUUACCAGGCACUGUGUUAAACAUUUUCACAAGCAUUGUCCCAUUCAAUCCUCACAACAACUCAGUGAGAUAGGUUCUAUCACUUAUUCCACUUCACAGAUGAGGCAGCCAAGACACAGAGACGUUAAGAGACUUGUCGAAGAUCACACAGCUGACAGUUGUAAGACUGAGUCAAAUCAAGUCUGUGUUUAUACCUGUCACCUGCCCUUGCCCCCUCUCUACCAUUUGGCCUGGUCUGGCUGGUAGAGCUGUCUCCUGUGGCUUCCCCUGGGACAGAUGGUAAAAUAAAUCUUCAGUGAGACCCAAGCGGUCCCUCCUGUGUUCCGUGACUACAAUAAAGUGUGAGACCCUUGACUUGUGUCCGUGUCUUUUUGGGGAACAUGAGAGGAGGAGAGGGGAGGUGAAGGCAGCCUAACAGCCUGUAUUAGUUCACGAGGGCAUCCGUAACAAAGUGCGACAGCCUGGGUGGCUUAAGCAAUAGAAUGUUACUUUAUCACAGAGUCUGGAUGUCUAAGAGCAAGGUGUCAGCAGGGCUGGCUUCCUCCGAGGCCUCUCUGUCUUGUAGACAGCUGUGUUCUCCUGUGUCUUCAGUCAGUACACGUCAGUGUCUUAAUCUCUUCAGACAAGGACACCAGUCCUGUUGGAUUAGGGCCCACCUACAGGUCUCAUUUAACAUAAAUUAUUUCUUUAAAGACCUACCGCCAAAUAAAGUCAGAGUCUAGGUACUGGGGUUUAAGACGUUCAUCAUGAACAUAGUUGGGGGACACAAUCCAGCCCACAGCACAGCCCCAGUUGAGGUAACCCUAAGGUGACUUCACACUGCUGGACAUUUCCAGGGGCCAGCUACACAGCAACCAGGACCCACACCAGGAUAGUCAGAAGCUCCAGGAAGGUGCCAGGCGGUGUCUGAGAACACCCACCAAGGGAAGGGGGAACGUCCCCCAAGGUGAGGUCCCCUCGGGCGGGGGCCAAGGCGCAGGCUGAGGAGCCUGGCCACGCGGCAGCCUCUCCCCUUCAGUCCCAAAGGUGUGACUGACCAGGUGGAGGAGGCGAGACAAACUCUGAAAUCACACCUCACACGGUGCCAGGAAUCAGAGUGAAUGCAAUAUCAGCUGCACCACAGGCAUCAUCCCAACUGUGCAGACAUGUUAAACACACUUCUCUUCCUUUGGGGCUGACCCUCCAAACUCCGAUAAAUUCUGAGGGGGAGAAAAAAUCAACAUGACUUCCUACCUGCUGAUUCCCAGAUGCCCAGGGCCUCCCCUCAAUGCUCCUUUGAGCCGCAAAACAAGGCCUGCAUGCCUGCGCCGCACUGCAGAGGAGCCCAAGGUCCCACAAGGCCCAGGGGAGCAGCUGGGGAGCCACAGGGAUGAGGAAGAGGCAGGAUGGAGAGCUCCCCCGCCACCACCCAGCCGUCCACCACACCCCACGCCCCGACGACACACCCUGUUCUUGUUCAGCUUUGGAGCGUCAGUCACUGGGGCCUCCUCCAAACUCACGGGCCUGGUCCUGCUGAAGUCCUUCUAGAACUUUCCCUCACACCCCUGGGGCAUUAUCGGUAAGACGCAGCUUUCUGACUCCCACAGGCAGGUUCUGCUCUGUGGUUUGAGAUUUCCC